ACUCCUACGGGAGGCAGCAGUGGGGAAUAUUGCACAAUGGGCGCAAGCCUGAUGCAGCAACGCCGUGUGAGUGAAGAAGGUUUUCGGAUCGUAAAACUCUGUCCUAAGGGAAGAAACAAAUGACGGUACCUUAGGAGGAAGCCCCGGCUAACUACGUGCCAGCAGCCGCGGUAAUACGUAGGGGGCAAGCGUUAUCCGGAAUCACUGGGCGUAAAGGGUGCGUAGGCGGCUUAGCAAGCCAGGGGUGAAAGGCAUUGGCUCAACCAAUGUAAGCCUUUGGAACUGUUAGGCUUGAGUGCAGGAGAGGUAAGUGGAAUUCCUAGUGUAGAGGUGAAAUUCGUAGAUAUUAGGAGGAACACCAGUGGCGAAGGCGACUUACUGGAC
rnacentral:rRNA from 1 species